GUGAUUUCCUUUCCCUAUUUUUUUCCUUCGCAGACUUUCCCAAAGGCAAUAUUUUGAAAACAGGACAUCAAAAGAAAAGAUCCAGAUCUUCUUUAAGCCCCCUAAAAUAUCAAACAUGAUGAUAUCAAAUGGGAAAACGAGGAGGACAAACCCACACCAGGAUAGCAGGUGAUGGCAGACAAAAAGAGGGAUGUACUUGAUGAUACAAAAUUGGGAGGAGUGGAUUACACAUUGGAAGGCUGUGCAACCAUACAACAUGACAAGGACAGACCAGAGAGUUGGGCAGCGAGAAACCUGAUGAGGUUUAACCACACCAAGUGUAGAGUCUUGCACCCUGAAAGAAUAACAGCAAACAUCAGUAGAGGUUAGGACCUGGGGGUCCUGGUGGACAGCAGGCCAAGAGCCAGCAGCAUGCCCUUGUGGCCAAGAAGGCCAAUGGUAUCCUGGGGCACAGUAAAAACAGUGUGACCAGAAGGACAAGGGAGGUGAUCCGCUCCCUCUGCUCUGCUAUGCUGAACUUGCUGAGUGGAUGAAUGAAGGAGGGAGAGAAGCCGGGCCCAGAAAAUUAGAUUGGUCAGAAAGGACAAUUAGAGUUGGAAAUGUGUGCGGACGGGGUCAUGGCAACACGUAAAAACUACGGGAUUGAAAGUAACGAGGUUCCUCCGAGGAGAUGCUCAGCUUGAGCUGUAAAUCUCAAGACCUGCAAAUAAAUGAGGAUGAAGGACAGUCA
rnacentral:lncRNA from 1 species